GAAAACUGCCGAGGAAGACGUAGACGGAGACGCAGAACAAGAUGGGGUUUUGGUUGAGGUUCAAUCUGCUUGUGUUUACAAUUGCGAUUCUAUCAACGCCUGUACUUUCAGAUCUGAUACUCUCCAAGGUCGAUCGACGUAUUGAUUUGACUUCACAAAUUGUACGCAUCACUUCAACACUAAAGGUGGAGAAUGCUGGUUCUGGUUUGGUUUCAGAGGUUUUGCUGGCCUUCCCAGAGCUUCAGGCUAAAAAUUUGGUAUAUUUGAUGGCAACAACUAAUGAAGGAAAAGGCAAAACGAAAAGUGCUGGAGUUAGUCUCCCUGUUGAAAUUGCCAAUCCAAAAGGAAUGCCUCCUGCAUUGACUGUUUAUUCUGUAUCAUUAUCCAAGGCACUAGGUGAAGGGGACACAAUGAGUUUGGAUGUUUUGGCCGUG
rnacentral:misc_RNA from 1 species